CGCUGAUUGGCUAAGAGCCGUGUUGAUAUAACUCCACGUCAACACGGGAAAUUUUCCGCCGCUUGUUAACACGGAAAUUUUUCUUAUUCUUCGGGCUUUUGACAUUGCUAUAUUAUAAAACAAAUAUAAAACAUUUUUUCCGUAUUGAUAUAUAGUUAUAUCAACACUCGUGGAAGUUGGGAAAACUCGAAAUUGUGUGAAAACACUCCGCCCUUCGGGCGUCGUGUU
rnacentral:lncRNA from 1 species